CCCCAUGGGCCUCACUCUGUCACCCCGGCUACACUGCAGUGGCUUACUGAAACUUCACAUCCCAGGCUCAAGCAAUCCUCCUCCCUCAGCCUCUCAGCCUCUUCAGUAGCUACAACACAGGUCCCACAGGUGUGUGCCCAACACCCAGCUAAUUUUCGAAUUUUGGUAGACAUCUCUACCUCAUCGGUCUUAUUCUGUUGUCCUGGUUGGUCUCAAACUUCUGGGCUCAAGCUAUCUUCCUGCUUCAGCCUCCCAAAGUGCUGGGAUUACAGGCUCAAAUAGUGUGUGC
rnacentral:lncRNA from 1 species